rnacentral:rRNA from 1 species
GUGCCAGCCGCCGCGGUAAGACGAACCGUGCGAACGUUGUUCGGAUUCAUUGGGCUUAAAGGGCGCGUAGGCGGGUGCUCAAGUCGGUGGUGAAAGCCCACGGCCCAACCGUGGAAGUGCCUCCGAUACUGGACGCCUGGAGGGAGGUAGGGGUGCGUGGAACUUCCGGUGGAGCGGUGAAAUGCGUAGAUAUCGGAAGGAACGCCGGUGGCGAAAGCGACGCACUGGACCUCUUCUGACGCUGAGGCGCGAAAGCCAGGGGAGCAAACGGGAUUAGAAACCCCAGUAGUCC